rnacentral:rRNA from 1 species
UACGUAGGGAGCGAGCGUUGUCCGGAAUCAUUGGGCGUAAAGAGCAUGUAGGUGGAUCAAUUAGUCUGCUGUGAAAGUCAAAGGCUCAACCUUUGAAAGCCGGUGGAUACUGUUGAUCUAGAGUACGGAAGAGGCAAGUGGAAUUCCCGGUGUAGCGGUGAAAUGCGCAGAUAUCGGGAGGAACACCGAUGGCGAAGGCAGGUCUCUGGGCAUUAACUGACGCUGAGGAGCGAAAGCGUGGGGAGCGAACAGG